GACGAACGCUGGCGGCGUGCCUAAUACAUGCAAGUAGAACGCUGAAGCGAGGAGCUUGCUCUUCUUGGAUGAGUUGCGAACGGGUGAGUAACGCGUAGGUAACCUGCCUGGUAGCGGGGGAUAACUAUUGGAAACGAUAGCUAAUACCGCAUAAAAUUGAUUAUUGCAUGAUAAUUAAUUGAAAGAUGCAAUUGCAUCACUACCAGAUGGACCUGCGUUGUAUUAGCUAGUUGGUGAGGUAACGGCUCACCAAGGCGACGAUACAUAGCCGACCUGAGAGGGUGAUCGGCCACACUGGGACUGAGACACGGCCCAGACGCCUACGGGAGGCAGCAGUAGGGAAUCUUCGGCAAUGGGGGGAACCCUGACCGAGCAACGCCGCGUGAGUGAAGAAGGUUUUCGGAUCGUAAAGCUCUGUUGUAAGAGAAGAACGGGUGUGAGAGUGGAAAGUUCACACUGUGACGGUAUCUUACCAGAAAGGGACGGCUAACUACGUG
rnacentral:rRNA from 1 species